AUUGAACGCUGGCGGCAUGCUUUACACAUGCAAGUCGGACGAGUGGCGAACGGGUGAGUAACAUAUCUGAACGUACCGAGUAAUUGGGGAUAACUAAUCGAAAGAUUAGCUAUUACCGCAUAUUAUUCGAGCGGCCGCUAUCUGAUUAGCUGGUUGGUGGGGUAAAGGCCUACCAAGGCGACGAUCAGUAGCGGGUCUGAGAGGAUGAUCCGCCAAACUGGGACUGAGACACGGCCCAGACGCCUACGCGAGUCAGCAGUGGGGAAUUUUGGAAAAUGGGCGCAUGCCUGAACCAGCCAUGCCGCGUGUCUGAAGAGGGCCUUCGGGUUGUAAAGGAGUUUUGUCAGGGAAGCGGUACCUGAAGAAUAAGCACCGGCUAACUACGUGCCAGCAGCCGCGGUAAUAC
rnacentral:rRNA from 1 species